GCAAGUCGAGGGGCAGCAUAUCGCUUCGGUGAUGAUGGCGACCGGCGCACGGGUGAGNAUCGCGUUUGUAACCUACCCUUAACUGGGGGAUAGCCCANAGAAAUUUGGAUUAAUACCCCAUAAUAUUUUAGCACGGCAUCGUGCUUCUAUUAAAGCUCCGGCGGUUAAGGAUGGGCAUGCGUGACAUUAGUUUGUUGGUGAGGUAACGGCUCACCAAGACUACGAUGCCUAUGGGGUCUGAGAGGAUGAUCCCACACACUGGUACUGAGACACGGACCAGACUCCUACGGGAGGCAGCAGUGAGGAAUAUUGGUCAAUGGACGCAAGUCUGAACCAGCCAUGCCGCGUGCAGGAUGACGGCCCUAUGGGUUGUAAACUGCUUUUAUACAGGAAGAAACCCUCCUACGUGUAGGGGGCUGACUGUACUGUAAGAAUAAGCAUCGGCUAACUC
rnacentral:rRNA from 1 species